UACGGGGGGGGCAAGCGUUGUUCGGAAUUACUGGGCGUAAAGGGCUCGUAGGCGGCCAACUAAGUCAGACGUGAAAUCCCCAGGCUCAACCUGGGAACUGCGUCUGAUACUGGAUGGCUUGAAUUCGGGAGAGGGAUGCAGAAUUCCAGGUGUAGCGGUGAAAUGCGUAGAUAUCUGGAGGAAUACCGGUGGCGAAGGCGGCAUCCUGGACCGGCAUUGACGCUGAGGCGCGAAAGCUAGGGGAGCAAACAGG
rnacentral:rRNA from 1 species